UAUACGAUCUGAUGCAAGACUUAUGUGAAAAAAACACAGAAAUGCAAUGGAAACUUUAUAAUGACAAUGCUAUGGCAGGAUCAAGUAUUUUUACAAUUAAGUAAAGCUGACUCAUGUCUUGUGCACUACACCAACAUAGUGCUUAUUCAGUUUCUAGUGUAUACUUUGGCAUUAUAUAGGUGGUCUAAAGGGAUUAAUCUAGCCCACAAUCAUGGGGGCCCCUGUUCAAUGUGCCCUGAUCAAUGAAUCAGCCCACAGGUCAGAUAUGGUUACACACAUAAUCCAGGUUUAUCCAUUAAGUGUAGAAAUCAGGUGCCGAAGUUUUCAUGACAGGAAGCACGAAGGAAGUGUGAGUCCACGUAUGAAUGAAUUGACGACAGGAUAAAUAAAUUCACGGCGACCUUAAAUGACCCUACCUGACCUGAACUGACCGGGCAGUUAACCCCUCUCUGCCUGCCAACACUCACACAAAAGCUAGCUUAAAUUACUUCCGGCGCUAACAAAGUAAUAUUAGCUUAAAGUAAAUGGAACGUUGGCCGUUGGAAUCUUGAAACUAACCUUUCUAAACUUUCCUCAGACGAAACAGCAGCUUGCGAGCGGUCGCGCUUCUCCUGCCCAGCUCCUCUGCUGCCGUUAGCGGCCACCGAGCUCUCACACCCCGCCGCAGACCUCCCGUUCAUCGCCAGCAGACUCGCGCCUCUCCCGGCCGCAUAAGUCGCCCUUCUCCGGCGAGUAAAGGCCCCGGUCCUCGCGUCCGACUCCCCCAUGAUGACAAAAA